rnacentral:rRNA from 1 species
UAGUAUGGGGAUCUGCCCGAUAGAGGGGGAUAACUACUGGAAACGGUGGCUAAUACCGCAUAAUGUCUACGGACCAAAGCAGGGGCUCUUCGGACCUUGCACUAUCGGAUGAACCCAUAUGGGAUUAGCUAGUAGGUGGGGUAAAGGCUCACCUAGGCGACGAUCUCUAGCUGGUCUGAGAGGAUGAUCAGCCACACUGGGACUGAGACACGGCUCAG